CACGUAGUUAGCCGUGGCUUUCUCGUCAGGUACCGUCAAGGUACCGGCAUUUCCUCCGAUACUUGUUCUUCCCUAACAACAGAGCUUUACGAUCCGAAGACCUUCUUCACUCACGCGGCGUUGCUCCGUCAGACUUUCGUCCAUUGCGGAAGAUUCCCUACUGCUGCCUCCCGUAGGAGUCUGGGCCGUGUCUCAGUCCCAGUGUGGCCGAUCACCCUCUCAGGUCGGCUACGCAUCGUCGCCUUGGUGAGCCGUUACCUCACCAACUAGCUAAUGCGCCGCGGGCCCAUCUGUAAGUGAUGGCAAUAGCCAUCUUUCCUUAUCUCUCCAGGCGGAAAGAUAAUCUAUCCGGUAUUAGCACCGGUUUCCCGGAGUUAUCCCGGUCUUACAGCAGGUUACCCACGUGUUACUCACCCGUCCGCCGCUAACCAACAAAAAGCAAGCUUCUUAUUGGUUCGCUCGACUUGCAUGUAUUAGGCACGCCGCCAGCGUCGUCUCGUAUCCGAGACGU
rnacentral:rRNA from 1 species